rnacentral:tRNA from 1 species
GUGGACGUAGCUCAGUCGGUAGAGCUCUGGAUUGUGGUUCCAGUGGUCGAGGGUUCAAUCCCCUUCGUCCACCCCA